UACGGGGGGAGCAAGCGUUGUUCGGAUUUACUGGGCGUAAAGGGCGCGUAGGCGGUAGCACAAGUCAGUUGUGAAAUCUCGGAGCUUAACUUCGAAACUGCAUUCGAUACUGCCGUGCUUGAGGACUGGAGAGGAGACUGGAAUUUACGGUGUAGCGGUGAAAUGCGUAGAUAUCGUAAGGAAGACCAGUGGCGAAGGCGGGUCUCUGGACAGUUCCUGACGCUGAGGCACGAAGGUCAGGGGAGCAAACGGG
rnacentral:rRNA from 1 species